AACUUUCAGCAAUGGAUCACUUGGAUCUGGCAUCGAUGAAGAACGCAGCGAAAUGCGAUAAGUAAUGCGAAUUGCAGAAUUCCAGUGAGUCAUCGAAUCUUUGAACGCACAUUGCGCCCUUUGGUAUUCCGAAGGGCAUGCCUGUUCGAGCGUCAUUAUCACCCCUCAAGCCCUCGGCUUGGUGUUGGACGGUUUGGUGGAGGCCCCCUCGGGGGCUCCUGCCCCUCCCAAAGACAAUGACGGCGGCCUCGUUGGACCCCCGGUACACUGAGUUCUUCACGGGACACGUAUCGGACACAUGGGUUUACGGGACACGGUCUGCCUCCCCUCAGGGAGAAUCUUUCUAAGGUUGACCUCGGAUCAGGUAGGGAUACCCGCUGAACUUAAGCAUAUCAAUAAGCGGAGGAU
rnacentral:misc_RNA from 1 species